rnacentral:rRNA from 1 species
AAAUUUGUUAUUAUUAUUAUUAUUAUUUAGUUUUUAUUUAAAGAAAGUAAUUUUUUGUUUUAUUAAUUUAUGUGAAAAAAUUUAUUUUAUUAUAGAAUAUUUGUAUUGUGAAAGAAUUUACUUAUUUAUUUAAAAGAAUAAUUAAUUUUUAGUACCUUGUGUAUCAGGGUUUAUUAAAUAAGAUUUAAAUUUAUAAAUUUCUCGAACUUAAAAGAGCUAUGGUUUUAUAUUUAUUGUUGUAGAAUAAACAUUAUAAAUAUUUUCAUAGAAGUGAAACGCUAUUCGAUUUUAAAUAUAUCUAGUUUUUAAAGAAAAAAAUUUAAUUUUGUUUUUAUUUAAUAUUCAUUUAAAUUUUUAAAUGAAUAUUGAUAAAGUGCUAUUUUAAAGGGGAUGAGCUUUUUAAAAAAAAUAUAUAAAUAAUAUUUGUUAAUAUUAAUAAGUAGGAUUAUAAGUUUUUAUCUUUAAUAGUGUUUUAUAACUAGUUAAAAUUUUAUUAUUAUUUGUAUUUAUUUUAUAUUGUUUAUUUAAAUUUUAAUUUUAAUUUUUUAAAUUAAGUAAUAAUGAUAAAAUUAGUAUAAUAUUUUGUCAAUAUAUUUUAUAGCUUAAAGGUUUUAUAAAGGAAUUCGGCAAAUGCACUUUUCACCUGUUUAUUAAAAACAUGGCCUUUUGAUUAUAAUUUUAGGUCUCGCCUGCCCAAUGAUUUUUAUUUAAUGGCCGCAGUAUCCUGACUGUGCAAAGGUAGCAAAAUCAAUAGUUUUUUAAUUGAAAGCUGGAAUGAAAGGUUGGAUGAGAAAGUAACUGUCUCUGUAAAAAUUUAUUAUAACUUUAUUUUUAAGUUAAAAAGCUUAAAUAAAAAUAGAAGACGAGAAGACCCUAUAGAGUUUUAUAUUAAAAUAUAUCUGGAAUUUUAGUAUUAAUUUUUCUUUUUAUGUUUAUAUAUUUGGUUGGGGUGAUUGGAAAACUAAAUGAACUUUUCUUGAUUAGUACAUUUAUUUAUGAUUGAAUGAUCCUUUAAUUAAGAUUACAAGAUAAAAUUACCUUAGGGAUAACAGCGUAAUUUUUUUUGAGAGUCCUUAUCGAAAGAAGAGAUUGCGACCUCGAUGUUGGAUUAAAGUUGAUUUAUGGUGUAGGAGCUAUGAUAUUAGGUCUGUUCGACCUUUAAAACUUUACAUGAUCUGAGUUUAAACCGGUGUGAGCC